rnacentral:tRNA from 1 species
GGUGGCACAGUGGUUAAGAGUUUGGCUGUUGACCAAAAGGUCGGCAGUUCGAAUCUGCCAGCCA